GACGAACGCUGGCGGCGUGCUUAACACAUGCAAGUCGAACGGAAAGGCCUGCUUUCCCUUGUGGAUUGCGGGUACUCGAGUGGCGAACGGGUGAGUAACACGUGAGUGAUCUGCCCCCAACUUGGGUAUAAGCCUGGGAAACUGGGUCUAAUUCCCGAUAGGACUGCAGGGUGGUGCCUGUGGUGGAAAACGAUUUUCUAGUGGUUGGGGAUGAGCUCGCGGCCUAUCAGCUUGUUGGUGGGGUAAUGGCCUACCAAGGCGGCGACGGGUAGCCGGCCUGAGAGGGUGGACGGCCACAUUGGGACUGCGAUACGGCCCAGACUCCUACGGGCGGCAGCAGUGGGGAAUAUUGCACAAUGGGCGGAAGCCUGAUGCAGCGACGCCGCGUGGGGGAUGACGGCCUUCGGGUUGUAAACUCCUUUCGACCGCGAGGAAGCCACCUGGUUGGAAGGGUGGUGACGGUAGUGGUAGAAGAAGCACCGGCUAACUACGUG
rnacentral:rRNA from 1 species